rnacentral:rRNA from 1 species
AGUGAACGCUGGCGGUAGGCCUAACACAUGCAAGUCGAACGGCAGCACAGUAAGAGCUUGCUCUUACGGGUGGCGAGUGGCGGACGGGUGAGGAAUACAUCGGAAUCUACUUUUUCGUGGGGGAUAACGUAGGGAAACUUACGCUAAUACCGCAUACGACCUACGGGUGAAAGCAGGGGAUCUUCGGACCUUGCGCGAUUGAAUGAGCCGAUGUCGGAUUAGCUAGUUGGCGGGGUAAAGGCCCACCAAGGCGACGAUCCGUAGCUGGUCUGAGAGGAUGAUCAGCCACACUGGAACUGAGACACGGUCCAGACUCCUACGGGAGGCAGCAGUGGGGAAUAUUGGACAAUGGGCGCAAGCCUGAUCCAGCCAUACCGCGUGGGUGAGGAAGGCCUUCGGGUUGUAAAGCCCUUUUGUUGGGAAAGAAAAGCAGCAGGUUAAUACCCCGCUGUUCUGACGGUACCCAAAGAAUAGGCACCGGCUAACUUCGUG